CUUAUUGUAGCGCCGCGGAGGUGAUGACGAAGACGCGUAGAGACCUUGAAGAUUGCAGAGCUGCGAGCAAACAGAUAGGAUUGGAGACCAUGAAGAGAUUGAUGAAGGUCGGUUCAAGGUUGCAGAAAGAUGCAGUGGUGGAUCGUAGAGAAACGGUUGUAGUGUAAAUUAAUUGCAGCGAUGAAGAUAAUGGAGAGGAUUGAAGCUGAUGAAGCAGGCGAAGAUUGGAGUGAAGUUGAAAAUGGCGUAGAAGAGUGAAUUAUGGAGGUUGAAUCGAGAAAGAAUGAAGAGUUGUGGGAAGUAUGUGGAGAAGGUGGUGAAGGAGAGAGUGAUGGUGAGAGAGUUGCAGAACGGGAGAUGAUGAUGGAGAAGAUGAGAGAAUCGAAGAUGAAGAUUGGGAAUGUGGAGAACGGCGUGUAGUGGAAGAAUGGCUCUGCUUAGAGAAACAAUGGUGAAAAUGACGUGAAGAGGAAGAGGAUGAUUGUGGAGAUUUUCGAGAGCCCCCCAGAAGAAUGGUUGAAGCUGAGUAUAAAUAGGUGGCUUGAACUGUGUAGGAGUUUCUAAAACAUGGACCAUGAAGUCGGUUCAGAUUCGGGAAUAUAAAUGCACCGCUAAAUUCGACAUAACGCUCACAAUGAGGCGCUUCCCACAAUACCUUUAUCUCAGCAAAUAGCUGCUGCCUUCCGCUGAACCGGCGUAUUCACAUUGUCAUAAUGAGCUGAACUGGGAUUGGUGUAAAUUGGUUUUUGAAUGUUGUGUUAUUCUGACUGUGUGCAUUUGAUUCUGCAGGGAUGAUUUGUGGAAGUUUGCAGGGGUCUCUUGACGCAAUUAUGGGGCUGUUCUGGAUAACAACAUUGUGUAGUUGAACUGGUUCGAUUUACCAUUGAAACGUGCCCAAUUUGCAUUAGCUUGAGGGUCUGAACUAUUUUUCUUAUUGAUGCAGGGUGCUCGGUAUAUGCAGUCAGUUUAGACACCGAUCUUGGUGAGUUUUCUUAUGUUUUGAAGCAUGACUCGGAAGUAGGACCAUGGAAGGCGAGACUCGAAGACAGGCGAGCAAAGUGAAACUGAAGGAGACUUGGUAAAGGAAGAUGAAGACAAUUUAAUGUGUAUUCUGUACUGUAUACUUUUGUGCAGAACAUAACAUGGCCCCCUUUCUUUUUGUACAUGGCAAUCAUAGUUGAAUUUUGAAUGAGUGUAUGGUUGUACCAAAAUACGGAUCUACACAUGUUUGUACUUUCCUUUGUAAUCUCCCUGGCUUGUAUCAUAAACUUGGACCAAAUUUGAAUGAAAUAAAAUCUCUUCCUUGUCAA